UGUUAAAAGUGGACAUUCAUAUUCCAGAA
rnacentral:piRNA from 1 species